rnacentral:lncRNA from 1 species
UUUGCUGACAGUUUAUGAUUGUUACAGAUGGGCCUUCUUGAAGCGUUGCCUCUAUGCUAAUAUUGAGAUCUUCUUCUAUCAGUUUCCUUUUAGGCCUAUGUUGAUCUUCAUCAUGGUUAAUUCUCUCUGAAAUUUGACUUUUAGAGGUAUUGCUUGCAGCAUCUGUCUCUUGUUUCUCGGCAGAAGGAAUCCCUGAAGACAGAGAGUUCUCUUGCUUGACUGAAAUGUCAUAGUCACUAUUUGUUUCCACAAUCCUGCUACUUACAAGUGUUCUCAUUGCUUCAGGAGGUGUGGGGACUCUCUGCUGUCCAUCUUUCUGCACAAAGCAAGAACAUCUUAGCAGCAGCACUUCAUAACUGUCAACAUGGUCUCUAAUACCAAAACUUCACCAUUAUGCUUCUAUUUAAUCUUCCCCUUGAUUUAAUAUUUAAGGAUUGGUAACUUUAUAACAUCAGCAAUUCAACUUAAUUGUAGGAGGCUAGGAGCACCAAAUAACCACUGUACACAUUCUACAAUAUAGGAAAUCAAAAUAGCAUUUGAAAUUAAAAAAUUUCAUAGAUCAGGGUCACAUCGCAGAAUUAGCAAAGAAAAAUUCAAGUAUAUCAAAUUAAGCAUUUAAGGGAAAAACAGUACCGGGGAUGAACCUGCGGAAUGCAAUUCUUGGCACAACUGACCACUGCUUGAAAUUAAUAUAUUAUAUACAUUUAUUAUAAUUAAAACAUCAGUAUUUUUGAAAUGCCUUAAAUUCCCAUAGUUUGUUCAUUUUAAAAACCCUCAAGAAAAUCCAUGCUUAAAGAAUGCGCCUUAGUUCAAAUAAAAAACCAUACACGUUAUCGGUGCUACGUUAAAUGGGUCAUACAAGAAGAAAUCCCAGUAAAGAAUUUAGCUAAUCUAUUACUACUACUAGUAGUAAUCAAGUGGGGAAACUAAAGAUGAUGGUCAAUUAUAUGCAAUGCAAAAAGAGACCAAUGAUGAAGUCAGGAACAAAGGAAACCUUGUCAUUUAAAAAGAAAGUCAUCCGCAAGCUCCUAUUGAUAUUUCCGAAGUUAUGCCGGCUGAUUUUCUCACUAUAUAUACAAACAGCCGUAACUGUGUUUUUGAACCAAAAAGAUAAUACCAAAAACAUGUAUUUAUCUAAGGAGUAAAGGAGGGAAGAAAACACAUUUAUUCACUCUAGAGGCUCAUGAAGGUGGAUUAAGGGGUCCUACAUGAUAGGCUAUAGCUUUUAUCAAAGGCAUAUGGAACAGAUAAUGUACAAGAUUAGAGAUAUACUAGGUAGAUUUUAUUUGUCUGUGUAUCUCCCAAAAAGGAGAAACGGAGUAUUCACAUGAUGCCCAUCAGUCGAAUGUUCAGCUUUUGGAGCAGGUUUGACAGGUUCCUUAUUUGAUGAUGGGAAUGAUAGAGACAGCGAAAGAGAUGCAGCAACACUGUUGUCGCCCUCUUGCUCAUCCCCAACUACUUCAGGUGGUUUUUUCUGGUUAUUUUUCUUGUCUACAGCUCCGACGAGAAAAGGGAACAUACCCUUAUGGGGCGGCGCUGGAACUGGCAGUGGCUGUGGUUUUAUUUUGCCCCCCAAAGCAAGCUCUAGAUUUGGAAUCCCAACUUGAAAUUGACCCUCAUACUCACAAGACCCCUCCAGUGGCAUGCCGUUGAGCAUCAAUUGUGAGUCAUUUUUCUUAUGCGAAUCAACGGGAAAGAAGGUUCUUUCCAUGGUUCCAAGGUCCUCAACUGAAGAGAAGGUACCAGGAUGGUUUGCACGGGCCAUAAAACUGCCAUUGGAAGAUUCCCUACCUCCUGAACUACAACUUCCAUAAAUAUCAGUUAAACCUGACUUGAGCUUCUUGCUGGAACUUUCUCCAUCUUCCAAUUUUCCAUUGACCUUAUCCCAAGGCAAUUUCUGAUAACUAUCUGUGGAAGCCUUCAAAACUGCAUUUGAAACAUCUAUAUGCUGAACUCUUUUAUCAUUGGUUUGCUGACAGUUUAUGAUUGUUACAGAUGGGCCUUCUUGAAGCGUUGCCUCUAUGCUAAUAUUGAGAUCUUCUUCUAUCAGUUUCCUUUUAGGCCUAUGUUGAUCUUCAUCAUGGUUAAUUCUCUCUGAAAUUUGACUUUUAGAGGUAUUGCUUGCAGCAUCUGUCUCUUGUUUCUCGGCAGAAGGAAUCCCUGAAGACAGAGAGUUCUCUUGCUUGACUGAAAUGUCAUAGUCACUAUUUGUUUCCACAAUCCUGCUACUUACAAGUGUUCUCAUUGCUUCAGGAGGUGUGGGGACUCUCUGCUGUCCAUCUUUCUGCACAAAGCAAGAACAUCUUAGCAGCAGCACUUCAUAACUGUCAACAUGGUCUCUA